rnacentral:rRNA from 1 species
GUGGGGAAUAUUGGGCAAUGGGGGAAACCCUGACCCAGCGACACCGCGUGAGGGAAGAAGGCCUUAGGGUCGUAAACCUCUGUUGUGUGGGAAGAAGAGCGUGACGGUACCACACGAGGAAGUCCCGGCUAACUACGUGCCAGCAGCCGCGGUAAUACGUAGGGGACGAGCGUUGUCCGGAUUUACUGGGCGUAAAGGGCGCGUAGGCGGUCAUUUAAGUCAGCUGUGAAAUGGUUUGGCUUAACCGGAUCAUGCGGUUGAAACUGGAUGACUGGAGUGCUGGAGAGGCAAGUGGAAUUCCCAGUGUAGCGGUGAAAUGCGUAGAGAUUUGGAAGAACACCAGUGGCGAAGGCGACUUUCUGGACGAUGUCUGACGCUGAGGCGCGAAAGCUAGGGGAGCGAACGGGAUUAGAUACCCUAGUAGUCC